GAUGAACGCUAGCGGCAGGCUUAACACAUGCAAGUCGAGGGGCAGCAUGAGGGUUAGCAAUAACCCUUGAUGGCGACCGGCGCAAGGGUGCGUAACGCGUGAGCAACUUGCCCGUUUCAGGGGGAUAACCGGUGGAAACGCCGACUAAUACCCCAUAGCAUCACAAGGAGGCAUCUCCAUGUGAUUAAAGAAUUUCGGAAACGGAUAGGCUCGCGUGACAUUAGCUAGAUGGCGGGGUAACGGCCCACCAUGGCGACGAUGUCUAGGGGUUCUGAGAGGAAGGUCCCCCACACUGGAACUGAGACACGGUCCAGACUCCUACGGGAGGCAGCAGUGAGGAAUAUUGGUCAAUGGUCAGACGACUGAACCAGCCAUGCCGCGUGAAGGUCACGGCCCUAUGGGUCUUAAACUUCUUUGCAAGGGACAAUAAGAGCUACGUGUAGCUUGAUGAGAGUACCUUGCGAAUAAGCAUCGGCUAACUCCGUGCCAG
rnacentral:rRNA from 1 species